rnacentral:rRNA from 1 species
UGCAGCAACGCCGCGUGCGCGAUGAAGGCCUUCGGGUCGUAAAGCGCUUUUCUGGAGGACGAGCGAGGACGGUACUCCAGGAAGAAGGCUCGGCUAACUACGUGCCAGCAGCCGCGGUAAAACGUAGGAGCCUAGCGUUGUCCGAAUUUACUGGGUGUAAAGCGCGUGCAGGCGGCUUGGUAAGUUGGCUGUGAAAUCUCCCGGCUCAACUGGGAGGGGACGGUCAAGACUGCCAGGCAGGAGGCAGGGAGAGGGAGGUGGAAUUCCCGGUGUAGUGGUGAAAUGCGUAGAGAUCGGGAGGAACACCUGUGGCGAAAGCGGCCUCCUGGCCCUGACCUGACGCUGAGACGCGAAAGCUAGGGGAGCGAACGGGAUUAGAAACCCCGGUAGUCCUAGCCGUAAACGAUGUCGACUGGGCGGCGGUGGGGUAAAAGCCAUCGGUGCCGCAGCUAACGCGCUAAGUCGACCGCCUGGGGACUACGGCCGCAAGGUUA